UCCCAGCUGGCUCAGUGGUCAAGAACCUGGCUGCCAAUGCAGGAGAUGCAGGUUCGAUCCCUGGGUUGGGAA
rnacentral:tRNA from 1 species